CUCAGGAUGAACGCUAGCUACAGGCUUAACACAUGCAAGUCGAGGGGCAGCAUGGUCUUAGCUUGCUAAGGCCGAUGGCGACCGGCGCACGGGUGAGUAACACGUAUCCAACCUGCCGUCUACUCUUGGACAGCCUUCUGAAAGGAAGAUUAAUACAAGAUGGCAUCAUGAGUCCGCAUGUUCACAUGAUUAAAGGUAUUCCGGUAGACGAUGGGGAUGCGUUCCAUUAGAUAGUAGGCGGGGUAACGGCCCACCUAGUCUUCGAUGGAUAGGGGUUCUGAGAGGAAGGUCCCCCACAUUGGAACUGAGACACGGUCCAAACUCCUACGGGAGGCAGCAGUGAGGAAUAUUGGUCAAUGGGCGAGAGCCUGAACCAGCCAAGUAGCGUGAAGGAUGACUGCCCUAUGGGUUGUAAACUUCUUUUAUAAAGGAAUAAAGUCGGGUAUGGAUACCCGUUUGCAUGUACUUUAUGAAUAAGGAUCGGCUAACUCCGUGCCAGCAGCCGCGGUAAUACGGAGGAUCCGAGCGUUAUCCGGAUUUAUUGGGUUUAAAGGGAGCGUAGAUGGAUGUUUAAGUCAGUUGUGAAAGUUUGCGGCUCAACCGUAAAAUUGCAGUUGAUACUGGAUAUCUUGAGUGCAGUUGAGGCAGGCGGAAUUCGUGGUGUAGCGGUGAAAUGCUUAGAUAUCACGAAGAACUCCGAUUGCGAAGGCAGCCUGCUAGGCUGCAACUGACAUUGAGGCUCGAAAGUGUGGGUAUCAAACAGGAUUAGAUACCCUGGUAGUCCACACGGUAAACGAUGAAUACUCGCUGUUUGCGAUGUACGGCAAGCGGCCAAGCGAAGCGUUAAGUAUUCAUCAUGGGGAGUACGCCGGCAACGGUGAAACUCAAAGGAAUUGACGGGGGCCCGCACAAGCGGAGGAACAUGAGGUUUAAUUCGAUGAUACGUGAGGUACUUUAUCCGGGCUUAAAUUGCAGAUGAAUUACGGUGAAAUCUGUAAGUCGCAAGGCAUCUGUGAAGGUGCUGCAUGGUUGUCGUCAGCUCGUGACGUGAGGUGUCGGCUUAAGUGCCAUAACGAGCGCAACCCUUGUUGUCAGUUACUAACAGGUUCCGCUGAGGACUUUGACAAGACUGCCAUUGUAAGAUGUGAGGAAGGUGGGGAUGACGUCAAAUCAGCACGGCCCUUAUGUCCGGGGCUACACACGUGUUACAAUGGGGGGUACAGAGGGCCGCUACCACGCGAGUGGAUGCCAAUCCCCAAAACCUCUCUCAGUUCGGACUGGAGUCUGCAACCCGACUCCACGAAGUUGGAUUUUAUAGUAAUCGCGCAUCAGCCACGGCGCGGUGAAUACGUUCCCGGGCCUUGUACACACCGCCCGUCAAGCCAUGGGAGCCGGGGGUACCUGAAGAGCGUAACCGCGAGGAGCGCCCUAGGGUAAA
rnacentral:rRNA from 1 species